rnacentral:misc_RNA from 1 species
AAGGAUCAUUAUCAAAAGUCAAGUCGGGGGCUGCAAAGCCUUCGUCUACACCCAUGUCUUUUGCGUACUUCUUGUUUCCUCGGUGGCGCAAGCCGCCGAUUGGACAAACCAAAACCUUUUUUGUAAUUGCAAUCAGCGUCUGAAAAUAAUCUAAUUAUUUACAACUUUCAACAACGGAUCUCUUGGUUCUG